rnacentral:tRNA from 1 species
CAUUAAGAAGCUAAAUAAGCGUUAACCUUUUAAGUUAAAGACUGGGAGCCCACCCUCCCCUUAAUGA